rnacentral:rRNA from 1 species
AUUGAACGCUGGCGGCAUGCUUUACACAUGCAAGUCGAACGGCAGCGCGGGCUUCGGCCUGGCGGCGAGUGGCGAACGGGUGAGUAAUGCAUCGGAACGUGCCCAGUAGUGGGGGAUAGCCCGGCGAAAGCCGGAUUAAUACCGCAUACGACCUGAGGGUGAAAGCGGGGGACCGAAAGGCCUCGCGCUAUUGGAGCGGCCGAUGUCGGAUUAGCUAGUUGGUGGGGUAAAGGCUUACCAAGGCGACGAUCCGUAGCUGGUCUGAGAGGACGACCAGCCACACUGGGACUGAGACACGGCCCAGACUCCUACGGGAGGCAGCAGUGGGGAAUUUUGGACAAUGGGGGCAACCCUGAUCCGGCCAUGCCGCGUGCGGGAAGAAGGCCUUCGGGUUGUAAACCGCUUUUGUUCGGGAAGAAAUCCUCUGGGCUAAUACCCCGGGGGGAUGACGGUACCGGAAGAAUAAGCACCGGCUAACUACGUG